GAAAUGAGACAUCAAUCAAAUGCAUCUAUGAAAUACAUUAGUUUGGUUCAGAAAAGCGGGACAACUCAAAGCUUGGGGGGGUUGGGGGGGUUGUUCCAGGUUAUAGGUAAAUUUACACAUUUUCUGGUGACAAUUGGUUGAGUUUGUCUAAAGACCUGGGAUUGAUAGAAAGGAAAUGUUCAGGUUAAGAUAAAAGAUUAUGGAGACCAAGGUUCUUUUUAAGUGUUUUUUUUUUUUUUUUUUGAGAGGGAGUCUCACUCUGUCAUCCAGGCUUGAGUACAGUGGCACAAUCUCGGCUCACUGCAACCUUCACCUCCCAGGUUCAAGGAAUUCUCCUGUUUCAGCCUCCCUAGUAGCUGGGACUACAGGCAUGUGCCACCAUGCCCAGCUAAUUUUUUGUAUUUUGAGUAGAGACAGAGUUUCACCAUGUUGGCCUGGCUGGUCUCAAAUUCCUGACCUCAAGUGAUCCACCUGCGGAGGCCUCACAAAGUGCUGAGGUUACAGGUGUGAGCCACCAGGCCCAGCCUCUUUUGGAAAUUUUACAGUGGCUGCUGUUAGAGUCAACAGAUGACAAAUGUUUCCUAUUCAGAUCUUUAAAAGGUGCUAGACUUUUAGUUAAUCUCUUCAGGAUUGGGAGGGCCUGGAAGAAAAAGAUCUAGCUAUGUUAAUAGAGAUUCUUUACAGAUGCAGAUAUUCCCCCACAAAGAAAGGCCUUGCAGGGCCAUUUAAAAUAUGGCAGGGAAACAUGUUUUGGGGUAAAAUAUUUUGCUUUUCUUUCUUUUCUUGUAAUGUUAUCCAGAGUCAGAUUGGAAAGUCAUGAUAUAUAGAGUUAAAUAAAACCCAUCUGAUAAGAAUUUCUGGUUUGUAGGGCAUGACUCCCCAGACCUCUUAGAAAUUUGGGCAAGAUAAAAAAAAAUCAGACCUUAGUCCUCAUAAAUAUUACAAGGCAUUAGCUAAUGGUGUAUCAACUGAGUGAUACAAGUAUCAAAUAAUCUAGCAGUCCUGCAGCAGGGAGCUCCCUAUGGGCAGAUGGAGAUAGGAAAGGCAAGCCCCAAGAAAAAGGAAGGCAAAGGAUUUCCUAAAGGUUGGGAGCCAGUGAUCUUCCAAUAUCCAUAGCUUCACAGGCCCCACAGUUGGAGACAUUUUAAUCUCUCACUAUACAUAGGUUCAAGCCCUCUCCAACUUGAGGAACGAUCCACAACUAGUAAAGAAAGGAUGGCCGGGCGUGGUGGCUCAUGCCUGUAAUCCCAGCACUUUGGGAGGCUGAGGUGGGAGGAUCACAAGAUCAGGAGUUCGAGAC
rnacentral:lncRNA from 1 species